UGCAGUCGAACGGGGUCGGAACUUCGGUUCCGGCUUACGUGGCGCACGGGUGAGUAACACGUGGGAAUCUGCCCAUCUAUGGGGAAUAACUGCGGGAAACUGCAGCUAAUACCGCAUACGCCCUUCGGGGGAAAGGCUUCGGCCGUAGAUGGAUGAGCCCGCGUCCGAUUAGCUAGUUGGUGGGGUAAUGGCCUACCAAGGCGACGAUCGGUAGCUGGUCUGAGAGGAUGAUCAGCCACACUGGGACUGAGACACGGCCCAGACUCCUACGGGAGGCAGCAGUGGGGAAUAUUGGACAAUGGGCGAAAGCCUGAUCCAGCAAUGCCGCGUGAGUGAUGAAGGUCUUCGGAUUGUAAAGCUCUUUCGACGGGGAAGAUAAUGACGGUACCCGUAGAAGAAGCCCCGGCUAACUUCGUGCCAGCAGCCGCGGUAAUACGAAGGGGGCUAGCGUUGUUCGGAUUUACUGGGCGUAAAGCGUGCGUAGGCGGCUUAUCAAGUCAGAAGUGAAAGCCCGGGGCUCAACUCCGGAAUGGCUUUUGAGACUGGUAGGCUGGAGUUCGGGAGAGGGUAGUGGAAUUCCCAGUGUAGAGGUGAAAUUCGUAGAUAUUGGGAAGAACACCGGUGGCG
rnacentral:rRNA from 1 species